CUAACCAGGAUUCUCCUAGUAACGGCGAGUGAACGGAGAUUAGCCCAUCACCGAAGUCCGGUGCUAUUGCAUACAGGACAAUGUGGUGUUAAGGCAUGUACCUGGGACUGCGAAUCUACCCGAAGUCCAACUCCGAUUGUGGCUUUGGAUAUUGCCCAAAGCGGGUGAGAGGCCCGUACGGGUAGAUUCUUGUUGUUAUGCAGUCCUCAGAUGUGCGUGCUUUCGAGUCGGAUUGCUUGAGAAUGCAGUCCAAAGUGGGUGGUAAACUCCAUCCAAGGCUAAAUACUGGCACGAGUCCGAUAGUAGACAAGUACCGUGAGGGAAAGUUGAAAAGUACUCUGAAGAGAGAGUAAAUAGCACGUGAAGCCGGUUGCAGGGAAGCUGGUGGAGUCAAGCUUCAUGCUUGAGAAAUUUGUGCAAGUAGUAUUUUGUUGAUUGUAUUCAUGGCCGAUCAACUUGGAAUAAGUUGGGCGCAUUCGUGUGCUUCAAGUCAUUCUGGGUAGUGUGUUUGUGCUGGUCAUGAUAAACUGCUGCUUGUACUCUAUUUCUUGUUGCAUAAAUCACGGUCUAUAGCCUUGUGUUGACGUGCUGUAUGAUUGUCUAACUGUGCUACGGCAAGCUUUCAGUUUGUCGGGUACAGGAUGGCAGGUUGAGGCUUCGGUCCUUGUGUCUGUUAGUCUCUUAUAGUGGUUUUGACC
rnacentral:rRNA from 1 species